UGACUAGAUUACAUGCUCGUCU
rnacentral:miRNA from 2 species